CAAGUCGAACGAGCAGCCGGAUUCUUCGGAAACCGGUGGGCUAGUGGCGCACGGGUGAGUAACACGUUGGUGACCUGCCCCGAGGCGGGAGACAACCACUGGAAACGGUGGCUAAUACCGCAUGUGCUUAAUCAUUCGUUUGGUUAAGUAAAACUCAGGUGCUUCGGGAGGGGCCUGCGGUCGAUUAGUUAGUUGGUGAGGUAAUGGCUCACCAAGACAGUUAUCGAUAGGGGGCGUGAGAGCGUGACCCCCCACACUGGAACUGAGACACGGUCCAGACUCCUACGGGAGGCAGCAGUGAGGAAUAUUGCACAAUGGGCGCAAGCCUGAUGCAGCAACGCCGCGUGGGGGAUGAAGGCCUUCGGGUCGUAAACCCCUUUUCCAUGGGAAGAGAAAGGACGGUACCAUGGGAAUAAGUCUCGGCUAACUACGUGCCAGCAGCCGCGGUAAAACGUAGGAGGCGAACGUUAUCCGGAAUUACUGGGCGUAAAGCGCGCGCAGGCGGUUUCGUAAGUCCGAUGUGAAAGCUCCCGGCUUAACUGGGAGAGGCCAUUGGAUACUGCGGAGCUUGAGGUUAGGAGAGGAAAGCGGAAUUCCCGGUGUAGUGGUGGAAUGCGUAGAUAUCGGGAGGAACUCCAGAGGCGAAGGCGGC
rnacentral:rRNA from 1 species